rnacentral:rRNA from 1 species
UACGAAGGGGGCUAGCGUUGUUCGGAAUCACUGGGCGUAAAGCGCACGUAGGCGGAUCUUUUAAGUCAGGGGGUGAAAUCCCCGAGGCUCAACCUCGGAACUUGCCUUUGAUACUGGGGAUCUCGAGUCCGGGAGAGGUGAGUGGAACUGCGAGUGUAGAGGUGAAAAUUCGUAGAUAUUCGCAAGAACACCAGUGGCGAAGGCGGCUCACUGGCCCGGAACU